ensembl:lncRNA novel transcript
AGAAAGCAGUGUGAUAUAUUCCCGGGCCCAGCAAACAGUCCACAGGUGGGUUAUUGACACUCAGACCAAGAUUCAGUACACCUGAAAGACUGUGACUCCACUAAGAAAACAGUCUGUGAGAGGAAUUGAGGCUCUCGUCCAUGGAUCUAGUCCACUGUUGAGAUUGUGAAUCAUGUACUUAGGCCCAACAUAAAAGAGGUGUUGAUUCUCAUACCUGGAACCUGGACAUGUGCAGGAUUGUUAAUCUCAUUUAUGAACAUUCCUGCAGCUGUGAUUGUGACAUAUGCCUCUGCCCAGCACCUGAGUGAUUGAAUUCUUCUGCCUGGGCUCAGCCCACAGAUUGGAUUGUGAAACAUUGCUGAACCCAGGACCUAACUAAUGUAAAUCUAUUCUCCUGCCUUGGCACUGCCCACUGGGAACCCUGUGACAUAUUGCUGCACCCAACACCCAGGUUAUGUGGCUCUCCUGCCAGUGCCUUGCCCACACGGGCUGUUGUGACAUAUUGCUGGGUCCACACCCAGGUGAUAUAAUUCUCUUGCCUAGGCCCUGCUUACAGAGAGCAUUGUGACAUAUCUUUCUGCUCAUCACACAGUUAAUAAGACAGUUUCUGCCUGGUUUCUCCUUACAGGGUGUAUCAAAACAGAUUGCUAGGCCCAGCACCUAGCUGAUGUGACUCUUUCUAGGUUUUGCCCACAAGGAACAUUGUGACAUAUCACUGGGCCCAACAGCAAGGUGAUGUUGCCCUUUUGCUUUGGCCUUGCUCUCAGAAAGCAUUGUGACAUAUUGCUGAACCCAGCACCAAGGUGAUGUGAGUUGGUAUGCCUGGACCCUGCUAACAAGAGGCAUUGUGACAUACUUCUGGGACCAUCAUCUAUUUGAUGUGACUCUCCUUUUACCUGGGCUUCUGUUGUAAAAGAGAUUGUGACAUAACUCUGGGCCUAACAGCUAGACUUGUCUGCAGCGCAGAUUGCUACAUAUUGCUUGGCCCAGCUCCUAUGUGAUGUGACUCUCCUGUCAUACCUGAGUGCUCCCCACUGCGGUAAUUGUGACAUAUAGCUGGGCUCUGGCCCUAGUUUAUGUAACUUUUCUUCCUGACUGCUACUCACCUGGGGGCAUUGUGACAUAUCUCUGAACCUCUCACCUAAGUGAUGUGAAUCUCCUGCUUGAGCCCACUUCUCAGGGAGUAUUAUUAUAUAUUGUCACACACAGCAACUAGGUGAUAUGACUCUCUCUACAGCUUGGACUCUGCCCAAUAAAAAACUGUGAUGUAUCACUGGACCCAGCA